rnacentral:tRNA from 1 species
GGGUUGAUAGCUCAGUUGGUAGAGCAACGGCCUUUUAAGCCGCUGGCCCCGGGUUCGAGUCCCGGUCAACCCACCA